UCUAAGACAAUAGUUGUAGAACAUCUCAUAAAUGAAAACAUAACGUUGUAGAGUCAAUUUUUGCCCGUGGGGCAUAAUUUGUAGUUUGAAAGUAUUUGAGUUAAGUCUUGCCUCUAAGGCAAUAGUUGUAGAGCAUCUCAUAAAUGAAAACAUAACGUGGUAGAGUCAACUCUUGCCCGUGGGGUAUAAUUUGUUGUUUGAAAGUCCCUGA
rnacentral:lncRNA from 1 species